CCUUAAAGAAGCGUACUUUGCAGUGCUCACACAGAUUGUCUGAUAGAAAGUGAAAAGCAAGGCGUCUUGCGAAGCAGACUGAUACGUCCCCUUCGUCUAGAGGCCCAGGACACCGCCCUUUCACGACGGUAACAGGGGUUCGAAUCCCCUAGGGGACGCCACUUGCUGGUUUGUGAGUGAAAGUCGCCGACCUCAAUAUCUCAAAACUCAUCUUCGGGUGAUGUUUGAGAUAUUUGCUCUUUAAAAAUCUGGAUCAAGCUGAAAAUUGAAACACUGAACAACGAAAGUUGUUCGUGAGUCUCUCAAAUUUUCGCAACACGAUGAUGAAUCGCAAGAAACAUCUUCGGGUUGUG
rnacentral:misc_RNA from 1 species